rnacentral:rRNA from 1 species
AGAGUUUGAUCCUGGCUCAGGAUGAACGCUGGCGGCGUGCCUAACACAUGCAAGUCGAACGGGGGCAGAUUGAAACCUAGUGAUAUCUGCCCGAGUGGCGGACGGGUGAGUAACGCGUGGACAACCUGCCGCAUGCAGGGGGAUACCGGCUGGAAACAGCCGCUAAUACCGCAUAUGCGCACGGCGCCGCAUGGCGCAGUGCGGAAAGGGAGCGAUCCCGGCAUGCGAUGGGUCCGCGUCCGAUUAGCUUGUUGGCGGGGCAGCGGCCCACCAAGGCGACGAUCGGUAGCCGCCCUGAGAGGGCGGCCGCCCACAUUGGGACUGAGACACGGCCCAGACUCCUACGGGAGGCAGCAGUGGGGGAUAUUGCACAAUGGGGGGACCCCUGAUGCAGCGACGCCGCGUGGGUGAAGGAGUGCUUCGCCAUGUAAAGCCCUAUCGGCAGGGAAGAAGCAAGACGGUACCUGACUAAGAAGCCCCGGCUAACUACGUGCCAGCAGCCGCGGUAAUACGUAGGGGGCGAGCGUUAUCCGGAUUCACUGGGUGUAAAGGGAGCGUAGACGGCCAUGCAAGCCAGGGGUGAAAGCCCGGGGCCCAACCCCGGGACUGCCCUUGGAACUGCAUGGCUGGAGUGCGGGAGGGGCAGGCGGAAUUCCUGGUGUAGCGGUGAAAUGCGUAGAUAUCAGGAGGAACACCGGCGGCGAAGGCGGCCUGCUGGACCGCGACUGACGUUGAGGCUCGAAAGCGUGGGGAGCGAACAGGAUUAGAUACCCUGGUAGUCCACGCCGUAAACGAUGACUUCUAGGGGUCCGGGGACGGACAGUGCCCCCGGUCCCGGCGCAAACGCAAUAAGUAGUCCACCUGGGGAGUACGUCCGCAAGGAUGAAACUCAAAGGAAUUGACGGGGACCCGCACAAGCGGUGGAGCAUGUGGUUUAAUUCGAAGCGACGCGAAGAACCUUACCCGGCCUUGACAUCCCCACGGAUGCAGGGCAAUGCCUGCAGCCCCUCGGGGCGUGGGAGACAGGUGGUGCAUGGUUGUCGUCAGCUCGUGUCGUGAGAUGUUGGGUCAAGUCCCGCAACGAGCGCAACCCCUGCCCCUAGUAGCCAGCACGUGGUGGUGGGCACUCUAGGGGGACUGCCGGGGACAACCCGGAGGAAGGCGGGGACGACGUCAAAUCAUCAUGCCCCUUAUGGCCGGGGCUACACACGUGCUACAAUGGCGCGCACAGAGGGAGGCGAGCGGGCGACCGUGAGCGAAGCCCGGAAAGCGCG